ACCUCCAGCAUCUCCAGUAUUGGAGGCACUGCCUGCCCAGUGACAAUAGUUUAACGGCCGCGGUAUCCUGACCGUGCAAAGGUAGCAUAAUCACUUGUUCUCUAAAUAAGGACUUGUAUGAAUGGCCACACGAGGGUUUUACUGUCUCUUACUUCCAAUCAGUGAAAUUGACCUCCCCGUGAAGAGGCGGGAAUAAAUCAAUAAGACGAGAAGACCCUAUGGAGCUUUAACUAACCAAUCCAAAGAAAACAGACUAAAUAACUCAGGAAAUAACAACGUCUUCUUAUGAUUUGACAGUUUCGGUUGGGGUGACCUCGGAGAAUAAAAAAUCCUCCGAACGAUUUUAAAGAUUAGACCUACAAGUCAAAUCACUCAAUCGCUCAUUGAUCCAAAAACUUGAUCAACGGAACAAGUUACCCUAGGGAUAACAGCGCAAUCCUAUUCAAGAGUCCAUAUCGACAAUAGGGUUUACGACCUCGAUGUUGGAUCAGGACACCCAGAUGGUGCAACCGCUAUCAAA
rnacentral:rRNA from 1 species